UACAGAGGGUGCAAGCGUUGCUCGGAUUUACUGGGCGUAAAGCGUACGCAGACGGCUUGGUAGGUCGGAUGUGAAAGCCCCGGGCUCAACCCGGGAAUUGCAUCCGAAACCACCUCGCUCGAGUGUGGGAGAGGGAAGCGGAAUUCCUGGUGUAGAGGUGAAAUUCGUAGAUAUCAGGAGGAACACCGGCGGCGAAGGCGGCUUCCUGGCCCAUUACUGACGUUCCGGUACGAAAGCGUGGGUAGCAAACAGG
rnacentral:rRNA from 1 species